AUUGCAGGACACAUUGAACAUCGACAUUUUGAACGCAUAUUGCGGCCAAGGGUCCGUCUCUUGGCCACGCCCGUUUGAGGGUCGGCG
rnacentral:rRNA from 1 species